rnacentral:lncRNA from 1 species
UUGAAGCUAAUUAUGGAUACAUUAAACAAACAUAAACAAAUUGCUUUACCUCCCAAAAGAGAGAGCCUACAAAGUCUGGUGGCAUCUUAAGUAUUGGGCGGUGAGUUAAGUUGCAUGAUGAUUAAAUACUAAAAUUUGGUUUAUGUAAACCCAAAUUAUUGAUGGGCUGUUAAACUUGUGUGCAACCAGGUCGUUGUCUUUCACAUACAAAAAAAAAAAAAACCGAAGAAGGAGUCAGCGAGACGACAGCUUCCACUUUGAAAGAGUUUGAUCUCUUUUCUUUCGUUUGUUCAUUCAAAGUUGGUAAAAGAACGCGCCAAUCUUCAAAUUUGACCUCUUCUAUAUAGUUUUUGUUUAUUACAUUUAGUCAUUUACGUGACUAGCGGCUUAUUUUACAGUUGUUAAUAGAAGUAGAAAGAAACUCACCAAAAGUCAAAAGAGUCCUAUCCGUACUUUUAUUCUCCCCAUGUCUCACUAUUUGAAUGUGUCAAACUUUGUAGUAUUGUUAAGUAUUUGGUUUUAACCAAUUCUUUGGUUUACAACAUUGCCGACUGAACCUGUCACACAUGUCCUUUUAUGUUAAUGAUUCUUUUACACCAUAUGAAAUAAAAAAUUAAGGAUUACUGAGUCUCAUUGCUCUGUUUUUCUUAAGUAUAAUUGUGUUAUGUGAUCUUUCUCCUCCUUGAAGAUGUGUCCAAAAGAAAGAGACUUUUGAGAUCUUUGCUCUGUUUUUUGUUGCUUUCUCUUCACGAACUAUGCAAAAAGACAUCAAGAAAGAAAAACCAAAAACGUUUUAGUCACCCAAACAAACUCAAUCUCAUCCGACAAAGUUAGAGGAACGAAAAUAUUAAAUUGUAAAAUGAAAUGAAAAUAAAUGGAGAAGGUGGAGAGUUGUGAGAAGGACAGGUGAAUCUACCAAUAAUCUCCUGCCUUAGAAGAAUGGGUCACAUGGAGUUUGGUUUAUAUAUAUUAACCUAUUUCUCAACUCUAUUUUUUCUCUCAAAGUAGAUACAUUUACUUACCUUUUUUUUUUCUACCAUUUCUCAAAACAGAGUCCCGUUGGAGUUUUUU